UGAUAGAACUGAAGCACAUGACGGCCUUCUUUUAAACUUCAAUUUAUGUUAGGAAAACCUGGCGACUUUAUUGUUACGCUUCUGGGCACUCAAGAGAAUUGUGAAGAAAAGCACGGUUCAUCAGUAAAAUCCUUGCAUAGGUACUCUCACCGUCAUUCUCCCGUGCUGGGCAAGGGGUGAUUGCCGUGACUACGCAAUGCGGCUACAACUGCAUCUACGGCAAGUAGGCGUUUUCGUGGAGCGCAGGAGUUUGUUGAACACCCUGUUACUGCGGCCGGAUCUACAGGCUGACUACCAAAUUUACGGAAGGCUGCCCAGCAGUGGUUACUCUGCCAGUUAUGACGGACAUUGACGUGGACGUGCUAUGUCUGAACUUAUCUCAGUUACCAGUAGAGGAACUACGAAUGCUAGAAUUCACCAAAAUCCUUCCGGACUUGCGGCUCGCUGGUGUCGCGCAACGUGAUGCCGUUGCAGCGAUCCGUGGAAGUUUGCAGGACAUCAACACGCUGGGAAAACGGCUUAACGACGUGGCAUGGAUUUACUGCUGGCUCAUUCCGCGCGACAGGCUGCAUUCUUGGGUGCUCUAUCGCUUCAGCGGGCCCACAGCGGAUGCCAGGGAUUUCACGCUGCACAAGAAGAUAGCGAACGCGUUCUGUUCGCCCGGCAUGAGCAACGCAUUUCAAUCUUUGUCUUACCAUGCUGGGCGCUACGUCUGCUUAAUGACCAGAGAGCCCGAAAGCGGGGUGGAAGAACACUGUGUCAUAUGCUUGUGUGCCUGGGUCGACAUACCUUACGUGGCCGUACGUGUCGCUGGAGUUCAAGAUAUUCCAAAACUGCGGUCUGUACUUAAAGUCCUAUUGCAAGGCGAGCUCUACCAACUUAUCACUGGCUGUCACCAAGAGCUCAGCACCGCUUGGGCUUGCGCUGUCCGUGACUUCAACUUGCGCCGUGCAACGUCACAAGCGAACUACAUGAUCCCGACGACACCUGGGCGACGUCUCUAGUGUAGUGGUGACUAUAUUAGACUACACUCUGGCACAAUCAAGCCACGAGAACAAAGAAAAAUACGGGCGGAGAAGCCUGUUUUGCUGCACAUGAAUUGUGACAAUAUUUUGUACAAAAUAUCCAAACUGCGCCUCUACAUUGAACGUGAUGCUAACCGAAUAUCGUACGUCUGCCAACACUCCAGAAGGAGCCGGUUCCAGAAACUCCUUAGCGUCAGCAACAACUUCCUCUGAUCGACUGUCAGGAAAGAAUGCCUACAAAUAACCUUUUUAUUUUUUGACGAGUGCUUCCCUUACGUGCUCAGACUAUCUGUAGACACCUUGUCACACGAUAUGCAGCUGAAUAAAGAUGACCUGUGCGUCCAUCA